rnacentral:rRNA from 1 species
AUACGGAGGAUCCGAGCGUUAUCCGGAUUUAUUGGGUUUAAAGGGUGCGCAGGCGGGAGAUUAAGUCGGCGGUGAAAUUUUGCCGCUCAACUGUAAAAGAGCCUUCGAAACUGGUUUCCUUGAGUGUAGAUGAAGUAGGCGGAAUUUGUGGUGUAGCGGUGAAAUGCAUAGAUAUCACGAGGAACUCCGAUUGCGCAGGCAGCUUACUAAACUACUACUGACGCUCAGGCACGAAGGCGUGGGGAUCAAACAGGAUUAGAUACCCUGGUAGUCCACGCAGUAAACGAUGAUUACUAGCUGUUUGCGAUACAAUGUAAGCGGCUGAGCGAAAGCGUUAAGUAAUCCACCUGGGGAGUACGUUCGCAAGAAUGAAACUCAAAUGAAUUGACGGGG